rnacentral:rRNA from 1 species
ACAAGGAUUGCCCUAGUAACGGCGAGUGAAGCGGCAACAGCUCAAAUUUGAAAUCUGGCGUCUUUGGCGUCCGAGUUGUAAUUUGCAGAGGGCGCUUUGGCAUUGGCAGCGGUCCAAGUUCCUUGGAACAGGACGUCACAGAGGGUGAGAAUCCCGUACGUGGUCGCUAGCCUUUACCGUGUAAAGCCCCUUCGACGAGUCGAGUUGUUUGGGAAUGCAGCUCUAAAUGGGAGGUAAAUUUCUUCUAAAGCUAAAUACUGGCCAGAGACCGAUAGCGCACAAGUAGAGUGAUCGAAAGAUGAAAAGCACUUUGGAAAGAGAGUUAAAAAGCACGUGAAAUUGUUGAAAGGGAAGCGCUUGCAGCCAGACUUGCCUGUAGUUGCUCAUCUAGGUUUUUACCUAGUGCACUCUUCUAUAGGCAGGCCAGCAUCAGUUUGGGCGGUUGGAUAAAGGUCUCUGUCAUGUACCUCUCUUCGGGGAGAACUUAUAGGGGAGACGACAUGCAACCAGCCUGGACUGAGGUCCGCGCAUCUGCUAGGAUGCUGGCGUAAUGGCUGUAAGCGGCCCGUCUUGAAACACGGACCAAGGAGUCUAACAUCUAUGCGAGUGUUUGGGUGUCAAGCCCGAGCGCGUAAUGAAAGUGAACGGAGGUGGGAACCUUUCGGGGUGCACCAUCGACCGAUCCUGAUGUCUUCGGAUGGAUUUGAGUAAGAGCAUAGCUGUUGGGACCCGAAAGAUGGUGAACUAUGCUUGAAUAGGGUGAAGCCAGAGGAAACUCUGGUGGAGGCUCGCAGCGGUUCUGACGUGCAAAUCGAUCGUCAAAUUUGGGCAUAGGGGCGAAAGACUAAUCGAAC